CUAUCGCUUUUGGAUGGACCCGCGGCGUAUUAACUAGUUGGUAGGGUAACGGCCUACCAAGGUGAUGAUACGUAGCCGAGUUGAGAGACUGAUCAGCCACAAUGGGACUGAGACACGGCCCAUACUCCUACGGGAGGCAGCAGUAGGGAAUCUUCCACAAUGGGCGCAAGCCUGAUGGAGCAACGCCGCGUGAAUGAAGAAGGUCUUCGGAUCGUAAAAUUCUGUUGUUAGAGAAGAAUAUGAGUAAUAGUAACUGAUUAUUCACUGACGGUAUCUAACCAGCAAGUCACGGCUAACUACGUGCCAGCAGCCGCGGUAAUACGUAGGUGGCAAGCGUUGUCCGGAUUUAUUGGGCGUAAAGGGAACGCAGGCGGUUUUUUAAGUCUGAUGUGAAAGCCUUCGGCUUAACCGGAGAUGUGCAUUGGAAACUGGAAGACUUGAGUGCAGAAGAGGAGAGUGGAACUCCAUGUGUAGCGGUGAAAUGCGUAGAUAUAUGGAAGAACACCAGUGGCGAAAGCGGCUCUCUGGUCUGUAACUGACGCUGAGGUUCGAAAGCAUGGGUAGCGAACAGGAUUAGAUACCCUGGUAGUCCAUGCCGUAAACGAUGAAUGCUAGGUGUUGGAGGGUUUCCGCCCUUCAGUGCCGCAGCUAACGCA
rnacentral:rRNA from 1 species